rnacentral:misc_RNA from 1 species
AAGUCGUAACAAGGUUUCCGUAGGUGAACCCGCGGAAGGAUCAUUACCGAGUUUUCCUGCACAGGAACCCCCACCCUUGACUAUUCGACGUUGCUUCGGCGAGACGUUGGAAACAGCCGUUGGCGGAAGAUCAAUUCUGCCGGCGCGGGCUCGCCGGAGUUCUCUACUCUGAAUUUGUAUCGUCAGAUAAAACGAGCAAUGAAAAAA